rnacentral:SRP_RNA from 1 species
GGGCAUGGUGGAUUUACCUGUAGUCCCAGCUACUUGGGAGACUGGGACAGAAGAAUCUGUUGAGCCUGGGAGUUUGAGGCUAUAUUGCAUUUUGCUGAUUGAGGAUCCAUAUUCUAAGUUGUGUAUCAAUAUGGUGACCUUCUGGGAGUGUGGGACCAUGAGGUUGAUGUGACCGAUUAGUAGUAGUGUUGCACCUGUGAAUAGCUACUCCAUUCCAGCCUGGGUAACAUAGCAUGACCCUGUCUCUU